UUAGACUAAAUUCAUCUAGACAUUCAGUAAUGAGCUGCAAUAAAAACCUUCCCAGAGAUUCAACUGAUUGAUCUGCAUGAGAGUGAGAUCUUUGGAGAACAUGAGACUGGAAUGAGUCUGAUGAGAGAGUUUCUGUACCUUCAACAAUCACUUGAAGAUCUCUAGAUGUUUCUGUGCCGUCUGAGUGAGAGAGUGUUAAUCUGUAAUUCCCAGAAUCUGCUCUGAUCACACGGUUUAUUAUCACAGUCCCAUUAAUGAUGUUCACUUCAGGUCUGUUAUUAUAAAGAUCACAUUCACUCAUCCUCAUACUGUCAUUCUUUACUCUACAAACUGGAUCAUCUUGUGUGUUGUAUAUCCUCUUACGUAUCUUCAGAUCAUAUUCUAUAGUGUGCUGAACCAUCAGCAGAUUGAGUUUGUCUCCCAGAGUUGCGUAACAGGGAUCAGAUUGACCAAAACUGCAGAACCGGUCCAGACCUGAAAAACAAAACACACACACACACACACACACACACAAUUAAAAAUGUACUAAAAUCUAAAGAUGUCAUUGAUUAAAAUGAGACACAAAUCACACACACACACACACACACGCACACACACACACACACAC
ensembl:lncRNA